UUGGAGGGCAAGUCUGGUGCCAGCAGCCGCGGUAAUUCCAGCUCCAAUAGCGUAUAUUAAAGUUGUUGCAGUUAAAAAGCUCGUAGUUGAACUUCGGGGUUUACCCAUUGGUCAGGCUUAAUUGUCUGCACUGGUGAGAUAAAUCUCUACCUUCUGAGGAACUUUCAUGUCAUUAGUUUGGUGUGAUUGGAAAUCAGGACUGUUACUUUGAAAAAAUUAGAGUGUUUAAAGCAGGCUAACGUCUGAAUACAUUAGCAUGGAAUAAUGAAAUAGGACGGACCGAUUCUAUUUCGUUGGUUUCUAGGAUCACCGUAAUGAUUAAUAGGGAUAGUUGGGGGCAUUAGUAUUCAAUUGUCAGAGGUGAAAUUCUUGGAUUUAUUGAAGACUAACUACUGCGAAAGCAUUUGCCAAGGAUGUUUUCAUUAAUCAAGAACGAAAGUUAGGGGAUCGAAGACGAUCAGAUACCGUCGUAGUCUUAACCAUAAACUAUGCCGACUAGGGAUCGGACGAAGUUAAUUUUAUAAUGACGCGUUCGGCGCCUUACGGGAAAC
rnacentral:rRNA from 1 species